rnacentral:rRNA from 1 species
CGCAUCUGUGCAUGCAGCAUAUCAAUAAGCGGAGGAAAAGAAACUAACAAGGAUUCCCCUAGUAACGGCGAGUGAAGCGGGAAGAGCUCAAAUUUGAAAUCUUAAAGGGUUUCCCUUUACGAAUUGUAGUUUAAAGAAGUGUUUUCUGUUGAGGUUUUGGUAAAAGUUCUUUGGAAUAGGACAUCAUAGAGGGUGAGAAUCCCGUAUUUGACCUUUACUUUCAACUUUGUGAUACACUUUCAAAGAGUCGGACUGUUUGGGAAUGCAGUCCAAAAUGGGUGGUAAAUUUCAUCUAAAGCUAAAUAUUGGCGAGAGACCGAUAGCGAACAAGUACCGUGAGGGAAAGAUGAAAAGAACUUUGAAAAGAGAGUUAAACAGUACGUGAAAUUGUCAAAAGGGAAGCGUUUGACACCAGUGUUGUUUUUCUGAAAAUCAAUUAAAGAACUGUUUAUGCUAAGUUGUUUAGACUUUAUCAGCUAUCUGUUUAGUUUUGAGCUUUUCUUUAAUGCACUUUUCAGUUAACAAGUCAACAUCAAUUUCUUUUGCUGUAAAAAAGCUUGAGGAAGGUGGCUUGAGAUUCGUCUUAAGUGUUUAUAGCCUCUUGCCUAUGCAGUCGGAGAGAUUGAGGUCUGCAGCGUAGAUCCUUCGGGGCUAAAUGCAUUUGUGCUAAGUUAUAGCAUUUUAUAGACAACUUGUUGACUAUGAUUUGUCUUGUAGCUUACUCGCUUAUGUUAUUUUACCUACGCUUAGGAUGUUGAAUCUGUGCGAGACUAC